ACGCACGUGUGAAACUUGAAGGAAUUGACGGAAGGGCACCACAAGAACGCGUGGAGCAUGUGGCUUAAUUUGACCCAACGCGGGAAAUCUUACCGGGUCCGGACACACUGAGGAUUGACAGGCACUAUUAUGCUGUAUGUACUUUUGUGCUACAGCAUAUGUUAAAUAUGCUAGUCCUUUCAUGAUUAUGUGAUAGGUGGUGCAUGGCCGUUCUUAGUUCGUGGAGUGAUCUGUCUGCUUAAUUGCGUUUCACUAAGGGUCCAUAUAAUUAUGUACGUUGCGGCGCCUUGACCCCUAUGCAUCUGCUCAUCGUUAGUUAGUAUGCUAUAGCGCGAGUCUCUGUCAGCUUAGCUCGUGCGGUUGGAUCCUGAAA
rnacentral:rRNA from 1 species